GUCUCAAUUAUAAUUUUUUUAAAUAAAAACUAAAUUCAAUGACAUUUCUUCGACAAAAACAGACUCAACAAUAAUUCAGUUAUUUAUAGUUUUCUAAUUGGCUUCUAGAAAGAUCAUCAUCUCAUCACGGCAACUCUUCCAUUCGUUGUCACUAUUCUAUCACCCUUGCUCAAUUCAUUUCGUUAACUAUACGGAAAAACAAAUUCCACCCGACAACUUUUAUAAAUUCACCAUCUAACUUAAAGACUUCCAGAUCCUUCCCCUGUUUGCUUCCUGAGGAAAAAAAAAGGGAAAAAAGCUCCCCUUCACCCUUUCCUCAGCUACGGACUAUUCAGGAUUAUGGGAAGCGUCGUAGCGUCAAAUAAGGAGAUGUCCAAGGAGCUGGCUCGUGAGUUAUUGAUCUCGAUUUCUUCUACUUUACCUGAUAUGGUUAUGGAUUUGGAUAUAUUUCGUCCAGUUCUAGAAAGGCCUACUGGGGCUGGUGUUGCGGGAAAAGAUGAUCGAGCUGAAAAGUACAGGUCGGACUUGAUCUCAAUUUCGUUUGCUCAAUCACCUGAUGCUAAAUGACAAAUUGACAAUAGCUGAAUCGCGAAAGACUGAGACUUUGUUGUUUGUGAGGAGCUAUGUUUAAAAUGAACUUUUGUAUAUAAAGUGGGAUGUAUAAAGCUUCCUACCGUAUGAUGACUGUGUGAAAAUUUUUUGUGUUGAUAUUGGGUUGUUGUUGUGUCUUCGUGAUUCUGUUUUAGUAAAAAAUCCAGAAAGAUGUAGUCCAGUUUCAUAUGUGUACGUAUUCCAGUGUGAUUUUAGUUGAAGAAAUUGUGAAUAAAUUUGAUCUCUGUUUCUAUUUU